rnacentral:tRNA from 1 species
GCCCGGGUAGCUCAGCCGGUAGAGCGCCGGGCUGUGGACAAACCCCCAAUGAUAAAAGAGGGGAAAAGACAGAAACCCGGAGGUCCCGGGUUCAAAUCCCGGCCCGGGCC